UACAGAGGUCUCAAGCGUUGUUCGGAUUCAUUGGGCGUAAAGGGUGCGUAGGUGGUGAUGCAAGUCUGGUGUGAAAUCUCGGAGCUCAACUCCGAAAUUGCACCGGAUACUGCGUGACUCGAGGACUGUAGAGGAGAUCGGAAUUCACGGUGUAAGCAGUGAAAUGCGCAGAUAAUCAGGAGGAACACCAGCGGCGAAGGCGGCGCUCUGGGCCGGAACUGACGCUGAGGAGCGAAAGCGUGGGGAGCGAA
rnacentral:rRNA from 1 species